rnacentral:rRNA from 1 species
AUUGAACGCUGGCGGCAGGCUUAACACAUGCAAGUCGAGCGGGGUGAGGUGCUUCGGUACUGAUCCUAGCGGCGGACGGGUGAGUAAUGCUUAGGAAUCUGCCAUUUAGUGGGGGACAACAUUCCGAAAGGAAUGCUAAUACCGCAUACGUCCUACGGGAGAAAGCAGGGGAUCUUCGGACCUUGCGCUAAAUGAUGAGCCUAAGUCGGAUUAGCUAGUUGGUGGGGUAAAGGCCUACCAAGGCGACGAUCUGUAGCGGGUCUGAGAGGAUGAUCCGCCACACUGGGACUAAGACACGGCCCAGACUCCUACGGGAGGGAGCAGUGGGGAAUAUUGGACAAUGGGUGGAAGCCUGAUCCAGCCAUGCCGCGUGUGUGAAGAAGGCCUUUUGGUUGUAAAGCACUUUAAGCGAGGAGGAGGCUACCUGGAUUAAUACUCUAGGAUAGUGGACGUUACUCGCAGAAUAAGCACCGGCUAACUCUGUGCCAGCCGCCGCUGUAACAC